GAUGAACGCUGGCGGCGUGCCUAAUACAUGCAAGUCGAGCGAAUGGAUUAAGAGCUUGCUCUUAUGAAGUUAGCGGCGGACGGGUGAGUAACACGUGGGUAACCUGCCCAUAAGACUGGGAUAACUCCGGGAAACCGGGGCUAAUACCGGAUAACAUUUUGAACCGCAUGGUUCGAAAUUGAAAGGCGGCUUCGGCUGUCAAUUAUGGAUGGACCCGGGUCGCAUUAGCUAGUUGGUGAGGUAACGGCUCACCAAGGCAACGAUGCGUAGCCGACCUGAGAGGGUGAUCGGCCACACUGGGACUGAGGCACGGCCCAGACUCCUACGGGAGGCAGCAGUAGGGAAUCUUCCGCAAUGGACGAAAGUCUGACGGAGCAACGCCGCGUGAGUGAUGAAGGCUUUCGGGUCGUAAAACUCUGUUGUUAGGGAAGAACAAGUGCUAGUUGAAUAAGCUGGCACCUUGACGGUACCUAACCAGAAAGCCACGGCUAACUACGUGCCAGCCGCCGCAGUAA
rnacentral:rRNA from 1 species